UUGCUCAACCCUGGAGAGCGUGGCAUUAAUGCUGCCAGGGUUUGGGGUUUGAUUCCCACCGGGACCA